rnacentral:rRNA from 1 species
UACGGAGGGUGCAAGCGUUAAUCGGAAUUAUUGGGCGUAAAGCGCGUGUAGGCGGCUUUGCAAGUUGGGUGUGAAAGCCCUCGGCUUAACCGGGGAAGUGCGCCCAAAACUACAAGGCUUGAGUAUCGGAGAGGAUGGUGGAAUUCCCGGUGUAGAGGUGAAAUUCGUAGAUAUCGGGAGGAACACCAGUGGCGAAGGCGACCAUCUGGCCGAAUACUGACGCUGAGACGCGAAAGCGUGGGGAGCAAACAGG